UACGUAGGGUGCGAGCGUUAAUCGGAAUUACUGGGCGUAAAGCGUGCGCAGGCGGUUUUGUAAGCCAGAUGUGAAAUCCCCGGGCUUAACCUGGGAAUGGCAUUUGGGACUGCAAGGCUCGAGUGCGGCAGAGGAGACUGGAAUUCCUGGUGUAGCAGUGAAAUGCGUAGAUAUCAGGAGGAACACCGAUGGCGAAGGCAGGUCUCUGGGCUGACACUGACGCUCAUGCACGAAAGCGUGGGGAGCAAACGAGGAUUAGA
rnacentral:rRNA from 1 species